GGGAUAAACCGUAAUCGUACCCCUUCCUAACUGCCAAAGUGUCAUGGCCGCCGUCGGGACCUAUUGUGCUGACAUUUACAAUGUUUACAUAUAGAAAAGUUUGUUUUUUUCUGCUUAUAAUGCCGUUUUCUAAAGAUAUUAGUGAACAAAAUCGAUUUGCUAACAAUAUUUAAUAUAUUUUAAAUGUGCUAAAAUUGGAUUCAACAGCAAAAGUCGCAUAAAUAACAUAUAAAUGACGAAUUUGUUUACCUAUUACAAAUGGGGUUAUGUGGUUGUAACUGUUUAUUUUGGGAAUAAAAUGAAAAUGAUCAAUUAAACGACUGGAAAACUAUAGUGAAGUGAAGAACAUCUUGAAGUUCCAAUGAUGUUUCAAGAUGAGGUAAAUCGAAAUAAUUGUAUGUUAGAAGGACAGAGAAUAUGAAGAAAUGUUAUUGCUGCAUAUUUAGUGUAGUGAAAUACAAACUUCAAACAUUAUAAUAUAUUUUUUGAUUUCAAACAUUUCAUAUGAUUAUGAAAGAACAUCUUUCUUUUUAAAACAAUGAAGAAGUGAAGAACAUAAUAAAGUUCCAACGAAAAUGAUUCCAGAUGAGGAAAAUCGAAAUAAUGGUUGUAUGUUACAUGUAUAGAGAAUACGAAGAAAUGUUAUUGCUGCAAACUUAGUGUAGUGAAUUAAAAACUUAUUGUCAAAUACAAAUCAAUUUAUUUCAUACUUUUAUAAUAUAUAGUGAUAUAAUUUUAUAUGUGUUCAAAUAAAAAUAUUAAUAAAUAAAAUACAAUAAACACAAA